UGACCCUAUGUUCUUGUUGCAGUAUACUGAACAAGCUGACUCCUGAGAAAUUUGAUCUUUUAAAGGGUCAAUUGAUUGACUCUGGGAUCACAACGCCUGAUAUCUUAGAGGUCCUAGUUUUAACACUAAUGCCUGCAUGGCAACGUAUUUUCUUCUUUAAUUUGCGUUGCAUAUUCUUACCUAGAGCUUAUGUUGUCUUUCAUUUCCGUGCAGGGAGUCAUCUCCUUGAUAUUUGACAAGGCUGUGCUGGAGCCCACAUUUUGCCCAAUGUAUGCGCUUCUUUGUUCUGAUCUAAAGGAGAAGCUCCCUAACUUCCCUUCUGAUGAGCCUGGCGGAAAAGAAAUCACAUUCAAACGAAUCCUUUUGAAUAACUGUCAAGAGGCAUUUGAAGGGGCUGACAAAUUGAGGGAAGAGGUUAGGCAGAUGAAUGCUCCUGAGCAAGAAUCAGAACGAAGAAAUAAGGAAAGGUUGGUCAAACUCCGUACACUUGGAAACAUCCGUCUAAUUGGGGAGCUUUUGAAGCAGAAGAUGGUUCCAGAGAAGAUUGUUCAUCACAUUGUGCAGGUUCUCUGUCUCCCUCUCUCAUGUGCACGAUGUGCACACUCACCCAGUGGCACGCAUGUGUACCCUAGUUCUCACCCUUAGUACCCUCUCUUCCUGAUGACAUUAUUUCUCUAGUUGUUAUUUCUACAUUUUUUCGUCUCAUAAUUUACUAGAUUAUCUUGCGUAACAUGGGUUUUGUGAACAGCAACUCUUAGGACAUGAUACCAAGAGUUGUCCAGCAGAGGAGAAUGUUGAGGCCAUAUGUCAGUUCUUUCACACCAUUGGUAAACAGCUCGACGAGAACCAAAAAUCCAAGCGUAUAAAUGACAUGUAUUUCAAUCACCUGAAGGAAUUAUCAACAAACUCUCAGCUAGCCGCACGACUGAAGUUUAUGAUUCGUGAUGUUAUUGAUUUGCGUGCAAAUAAUUGGAUUCCCAGACGGGAAGAGGUGAGCCUUCAGAGCAUAUAAGUGACCUUCUUCACGCUCAUUGCUGUUAAAAGGUCUCAUGAUGUCCCACCCUUAUGUUGCAGGUGAAAGCCAAAACCAUCACUGAGAUCCACUCGGAAGCUGAGAAGAAUCUGGGCUUACGUCCAGGUGCUACUGCUAGCAUUAGAAAUAGCCGACCUGCUUCCGGCUCUCAAGGUAGUAUUAGCCCAGGUGGCUUCCCAAUUAAUCGGCCCGGUGCUGGUGGUAUGAUGCCCGGAAUGCCUGGAGCAAGAAAGAUGCCUGGGAUGCCUGGAAUGGACAAGGACAACUGGGAAGUUCCAAGGUCUCGGUCAAUGCCAAGAGGCGAUGGUUCAACAGCUCCUGCUGGCCGUGUUCAACCACCACUAUUUGACAAGUCUCCAUCACCUAUCCAGGGAUCUCUACCUCAAGGUAGUGGUGUUUUCAUGAUUGGUAGAACUACUGUCCUCUCGCAAGGGAGUGGUGUGCCCCCUCCAUCUCGUGCAGCUGAUUAUGGAGGAUUUGGUAUGGAAACUGUAUCUCAAGCCCCUGCUCCAUUUAGACAGGCUACGCCACCAUCAAUUGCACCAGUUAAUGACAAGCCGGUGGCUCCUGCCCAGUUUUUGAAUGCAGAUGAACUCGAGAGAAAAACGGAUUCUCUACUGGAGGAAUAUUUUGGCAUCCGACUUGUGGAUGAAGCGUUACAAUGUAUAGAGGAGUUGAAGUCGCCCUCUUACCAUCCUGAAAUUGUCAAGGCAGCCAUUUCCCUUGGAUUGGAGAAAAGCCCUCCAUGUGUUGAGCCAGUAACAAAACUUCUCGAAUACUUGUUGGCCAAGAAAGUCCUUACUCCGAAGGACAUAGCCACCGGAUGCCGCCUCUACAGUGCAUUGUUGGAUGAUCUCGCCAUUGAUUUACCAAAAGCUCCAGAAAAUUUUGGGGAGAUUAUUGGGGGCCUCGUUUUGGCCGGUGCCUUGGACUUCAAGAUUGUCGUAGAAAUCCUGAAAACAAUAAGCGACGGCUACUUCCGAAAAGCAGUAUUCUCCUCCAUAAAGAAGAUUUUAAGCUCAAGCCCUGCUGGAAAGGGAAUAUUGGAUUCACAAGCAUCUGAUAUUGAUUCCUACCAAAGCUUAUUUUAGAGCUUCUUCUAUACGUUGUUCUUGGAGGUAAUUAAGAGAGAGAGAGAGAGUCAUGGCAUAAAAUAUUUUUGCUCUUGGGUCUGCUGUGGCAUAAUCAUUGGGCAAUGGAGCCCCGAUAAUUGAAGGGGUCCUUUAUAUGACCCACAGUUGUUUUUGUAUUUCAUUAGUUUUUUAUUUCUUUGCUGAGUUGACUUGAGAAGUUUUGUCAAACUUUGUGAGUUCAUAAUGUUCGCAUAAUUUCCAUUUUCCAAUGAAGAAUGCUACGGUAUACUAAUUUGUUUUAA
rnacentral:lncRNA from 1 species